rnacentral:rRNA from 1 species
CCUACGGGAGGCAGCAGUGAGGAAUAUUGGUCAAUGGACGAGAGUCUGAACCAGCCAAGUAGCGUGAAGGAUGACUGCCCUAUGGGUUGUAAACUUCUUUUAUCUGGGAAUAAAAUGUUCCACGUGUGGGUUUUUGUAUGUACCAUAUGAAUAAGGAUCGGCUAACUCCGUGCCAGCAGCCGCGGUAAUACGGAGGAUCCGAGCGUUAUCCGGAUUUAUUGGGUUUAAAGGGGGCGAAGGUGGAUGGUUAAGUCAGUUGUGAAAGUUUGCGGCUCAACCGGAAAAUUGCAGUUGAAACUGGCAGUCUUGAGUACGGUAGAGGUGGGCGGAAUUCGUGGUGUAGCGGUGAAAUGCUUAGAUAUCACGAAGAACUCCGAUUGCGAAGGCAGCUCACUGGACUGCAACUGACACUGAGGCUCGAAAGUGUGGGUAUCAAACAGGAUUAGAUACCCCUGUAGUC